GGAAUAGACGAGUAGUAUAAUAAUUAGACUGCGGACUUUUAUGCAAAAUGAAAAUUGGCUGCAUUAAUGGGGAGAAAUAGAAGCUGAAUAGUUAAUGAAGUUACACUGAUUGGCUCCCGAGUCGUCCAUAUGUAUCGUCUCCCUUACGGGGACACCCGGUAUGCAGAUCACAAAGGGUGUGGUCUCGCAGCGCAAAGGGAGAAAAAUCUCUUUGCUCUCUUAAGACGCAUUAUCGUGCGUAACGCAUCGUAUUUCAGCCACAGCUGGUUCGAAGAGGCCUGAUAUCUCCCGCGAAAAUAAACGUCUCGUAACGCGUCUACUCGCUCGUACGCAACCAUACAGGGUGGCUAACAUUGCAGCGAGACACAGUACACCGUUCACCUAAUUGUACACAAGAAGAAAAUAAACUAGAUUUGUCAAGAA